AAUUCGCAACUAGGGUUUCCCUUAUAAAUCCCCAUCCCCUCGCUUUCCACCCUAGAAUCCUAGAUACGUAUAUUGCCGCAUCAUCUUCGUCGACUGAAGCAGAGAGUUCAAUUUUCACGAGCAUAACACCUUCAGGAUGAGAGCUAAGUGGAAGAAGAAGCGUAUGAGAAGGUUGAAGAGGAAGCGCAGAAAGAUGAGGCAGAGAUCGAAGUAGAGUGGAAGAUUUGUUUUGCUUCAACUUUAGGCUUCCGAUUAAUGGCUUUUCCUUUUUUUAGUUUUGUUUUUGAAAUUUGUCAGUGACGUUUUCGAGAUGUAAUCCCGACGCCGUUGUGCAUCGGUUUAUCUGAGAUUUUGGUACCAGUUUUCUAAUUAAAUACUAUUCCCGCCA